UUGUGCUAGGCGGGGAGUUAGCGGUGCCCUUAUCCCGAAAUCCGCUUUAUGCGGGGCUGAAUUCCCACCCCAGGAUCCGAUAAUUGGAAAACCUGAAUCGUUUUGAUCGGACACCACGCAACAGACGGUCGCGAACCUCGUCAGGUCCGGAAGGAAGCAGCGAUAAGUGAUGCAGUUUGUGUCGUGGAUUGAUCCCGAUCUGCAUAAUGAGCCGGGGUUUCCAAAAAAGAUACGAAGGUGGGUGCACAA
rnacentral:SRP_RNA from 1 species